GUUGUACUCCCUCCAUCCCGAAAUACUCGUCGAAGAAAUGAAUAAAAAUGGAUGUAUCUAGAACUAAAAUACAUCUAGAUACAUCCAUUUCUCCGACAAGUAUUUUCAGACGGAGGGAGUACUAC
rnacentral:pre_miRNA from 1 species